CUUCAUUCUUGAAGUCAGUGAGACCAAGCACCAACCAAUUCGGGACACAAUACCAACUCUUUCAUGCCAUGAGAAGCCUCCUUAAAAAAUUUCUGUGAUGAACAGGAACACAGAGGAAAACAAAGAAAAUUCAAGGAACUAAAUUCCCUCUCCACCUCAACCACCAGCAUUGAUACUCCAUCACUUAUGUACUGCAUCAAGCUGUCCUCAGAGGUGAGGAAGGUGCUGUCAAGACUAGAAGCAUGUGUCCCUCUCUCCAUUGCAAGAUGGGACAUAGAGAGGAGAAAAGUGGCAGACAGAAGGCUAAUCUCAACUGGAAACCAGAAGGCUAGAAAUCUUACUGAUGUGAUGUCCAGGGAUACAGAGCAUAUGAAGGAUGCGGAGAGUGGGUCAAAUGGAAGGAAUGUAGCAAAACAUGUAAACUUGAUUCUCUUGAUGACUAUUACGAAGGUAUAUGAAGAGGCAGUUGCCUUGGGAAGCUAGUGAAGCCAAAACCCCAGAGCUUCUCGCUUGCGUAGACUCCUGUGAGGGCUGGGAAUUUCUGUCAUGGAAUGUUCCAGAUGAGGAGGGGAAGCCCAGCUGCACUCAGGACACACUUCUAUGUAAGCAAUUCUAGUACAUUGUGCAGAAAUAUCUAGAAGCAAGGCACCCAAAUCUCCCAGCUUCCAAUAAUUUAUCAGAAUUUUUCUUCUGAUGGUGAGUAUUUACUCUUGUCCCCAAUUUUGUAUUUGUAGUUUUUAAAUUCAUUUUUCUAAAGGGGGCCUGUGUUAUAUACAGUUUUUAUGUGGCAGUUGAUCUUGCCGUCUCACUAAAGUUGGAAAGUCCUUUGGGACUGAAAUUGUGUUUUAUACUUUCUCUGUUUCCCAUGCCUGGGAUACAACUGAGCUCAUGGAGGAAGCCAAGCUAAUGUUCUGGCCUUCAGUUCCCUGCAUGGAUCAAAACUGGUUUGGGAGGUUGUAAAGCUUUUUGGGAAAUUACUUGUCCCUUUGUGGUACUUGAGGAUUUAGAGUGCCAUACCCAACAUACUGCUUUAAAACUAAAAGAAGGUUUUUU
rnacentral:lncRNA from 1 species